AGAUUGAACGCUGGCGGCAUGCCUUACACAUGCAAGUCGAACGGCAGCACGGGAGCAAUCCUGGUGGCGAGUGGCGAACGGGUGAGUAAUACAUCGGAACGUGCCCAAUCGUGGGGGAUAACGCAGCGAAAGCUGUGCUAAUACCGCAUAAGAUCUACGGAUGAAAGCAGGGGAUCGCAAGACCUUGCGCGAAUGGAGCGGCCGAUGGCAGAUUAGGUAGUUGGUGAGGUAAAGGCUCACCAAGCCUUCGAUCUGUAGCUGGUCUGAGAGGACGACCAGCCACACUGGGACUGAGACACGGCCCAGACUCCUACGGGAGCAGCAGUGGGAAUUUGGAC
rnacentral:rRNA from 1 species